GAUGAACGCUGGCGGCAUGCCUAACACAUGCAAGUCGGACGGGAAGUGGUGUUUCCCGUGGCGGACGGGUGAGGAACGCGUAAGAACCUGCCCUUGGUAGGGGAACAACAGCUGGAAACGGCUGCUAAUACGCCGCAGACUGAGCAGCAAAAGGAGGAAUCCGCCCGAGGAGGGGCUCGCGUCUGAUUAGCUAGUUGGAGAGGCAAUAGCUUACCAAGGCGAUGAUCUGUAGCUGGUCCGAGAGGAUGAUCAGCCACACUGGGACUGGGACACGGACCAGACUACUAUGGGAGGCGGCAGUGGGGAAUAUUCAGCAAUGGGCGAUGUGCUGACAGAGCAAUGCGGCGGGGAAGUAGAAGGCCUUCGGGUGAUGAGCAUCUUUUCCAAGAGUAGAAACAAUGACGUUACCUGGAGAAUAAGCAUCGGCUAACUCUGUG
rnacentral:rRNA from 1 species